rnacentral:rRNA from 1 species
UACGAAGGGGGCUAGCGUUGUUCGGAAUUACUGGGCGUAAAGCGCACGUAGGCGGACAUUUAAGUCAGGGGUGAAAUCCUGGGGCUCAACCCCGGAACUGCCUUUGAUACUGGGUGUCUAGAGUGUGGAAGAGGUGAGUGGAAUUCCGAGUGUAGAGGUGAAAUUCGUAGAUAUUGUGAGGAACACUAGUGGCGAAGGCGAGACUCUGGACAGUUCCUGACGCUGAGGCACGAAGGCCAGGGGAGCAAACGGG